CCUACGGGAGGCAGCAGUGAGGAAUAUUGGUCAAUGGGCGGAAGCCUGAACCAGCCAAGUAGCGUGCAGGAUGAAGGCCCUACGGGUCGUAAACCGCUUUUGCACGGGGAUAACACCCUCCACUUGUGGAGGUCUGCAGGUACCGUGCGAAUAAGGACCGGCUAAUUCCGUGCCAGCAGCCGCGGUAAUACGGAAGGCCCGAGCGUUAUCCGGAUUCAUUGGGCUUAAAGGGAGCGUAGGCGGGCGUUCAAGUCAGCUGGAAAAUCGCGCGGCUCAACCGCGCCCCGCAGUUGAAACUGGACGGCGUGAGUACACAACAGGCAGGCGGAAUUCGUGGUGUAGCGGUGAAAUGCAUAGAUAGCACGAGGAACCCCGAUGGCGAAGGCAGCCUGCCGGGGUGCGACUGACGCUGAGGCUCGAAGGUGCGGGUAUCAAACAGGAUUAGAUACCCCUGUAGUC
rnacentral:rRNA from 1 species